rnacentral:rRNA from 1 species
GACGAACGCUGGCGGCGUGCUUAACACAUGCAAGUCGAACGGAAAGGCCCUGCUUUUGUGGGGUGCUCGAGUGGCGAACGGGUGAGUAACACGUGAGUAACCUGCCCUUGACUUUGGGAUAACUUCAGGAAACUGGGGCUAAUACCGGAUAGGAGCUCCUGCUGCAUGGUGGGGGUUGGAAAGUUUCGGCGGUUGGGGAUGGACUCGCGGCUUAUCAGCUUGUUGGUGGGGUAGUGGCUUACCAAGGCUUUGACGGGUAGCCGGCCUGAGAGGGUGACCGGCCCAUUGGGAGCUGGGAUACGGCCCAGAUCCCUACGGGGGGCAGAAGUGGGGAAUAUGGCACAAGGGGGGGAAGCCUGAGGCAGCAACGCCGGGGGGGGGAUGACGGCCUUGGGGUGGAAAACCGCUUUCCCCUGGAAAGAAGGGGGGGUGACGGUAAUGGGGAAAGAAGCACCGGCGAACUACGU